rnacentral:rRNA from 1 species
CAGCAGCCGCGGUAAUACGGAGGGAGCUAGCGUUGUUCGGAAUUACUGGGCGUAAAGCGCGCGUAGGCGGUUACUCAAGUCAGAGGUGAAAGCCCGGGGCUCAACCCCGGAACUGCCUUUGAAACUAGGUGACUAGAAUCUUGGAGAGGUCAGUGGAAUUCCGAGUGUAGAGGUGAAAUUCGUAGAUAUUCGGAAGAACACCAGUGGCGAAGGCGACUGACUGGACAAGUAUUGACGCUGAGGUGCGAAAGCGUGGGGAGCAAACAGGUUUAGAUACCCCCGUAGUCCCUGUCUCUUAUAA